rnacentral:lncRNA from 1 species
GUUCUCUUUUCUCCACAUCCUGCCGACACACGUUAUUUCUCGUCUUUGUGAUAAUGGCCAUCGUAACAAGUGGGAGUUGAUAUCUCAUUAUGGUUUUGAGUUGCAUUAGUGACACUGGACAGCUUUUCAUAUGCCCGUCGGCCAUUUGUAUGUCUCCUCUGAAGAAAUGUCUAUUUAGCAAUGCUGAAAGAUGAAUUGAAGCAAUCUUUGGAAGAUUUUGAACUCUUUGGAGGAAAGAGAGUAUGUAAAGACAAGCCUUCGACGUGUGGCCUUCCCCUGAGCACAGGAAAGUGCAUACAGGGUGCGUCUGAAGGUUACUUGGCUGCUGUUUUAAUGGAAUAGAAGAACAUGUCUUUGGUCUUUAAAAAUUCAAGAGGCAGGAACCAACUCUGGAAAAGCCCUGUUCUGGUCAGAUUAAGAAGCAGGAGGUUAGAACCGCUGUCGGGUCAGCGUUGGGGCGAUGCUCGUCUCGAGUGUGCAGGCUUGACGUCGGGCGCCCUGGGGCCCUCACCAGUCGCACGCUCUCCCGCAGACACUCACUGUCCCCCUGCCCUGGUUUCACCGGCCUGCAUCCUCCUUCCUCCUGCAGAGGAUGUGCCCCCUCAGGCAGAGACCUCAGUUUCCACUCGCCUCAGCGUCUGUGCGCGGCACCUGCCUGGCCGAGCCCCGCGUGUCCCCUGGGUCUGUGCUCAGUGCUCGGGCUGGGCUGCCCGGGCUGGGGAUGGCCGGCAGCAUCACAAACCUCUCUGGGGAGGCUGGUCUGUGCCGGGCACUGAACCACGUGCUCUUCAUGGGUUAUUUCAUUUACUCCUCAUAGUGAAUGUAUGCGAUGGGGCAUACGACUGUCUCCAUUACAGAUGGGUCUGAGGUUGCCCAAGGCCACGAGACAGGGGACUGGGCAGGGUUCCAGGGACACUUCUGGGGUGUCCUCUGGGAUUAGAAGAAUGCAGACCCCAUGGUCCUGCUCUGUGGUAACUCCACAAAUUCCCGAGUCUUCUCAGGUUCUGCCCGUGAGCAGUGAUGAUAACCAGAGGGAAGGAAGGCAGGAACAGGGAGAAACCAGGGAGAAUUAGCACAUGAUCUGUGAUUAUUUCUUAGAGAAAAUGGAAAAGAUGUUUGCAUAUGUUUUCAUCAACCUUAAAACACCUGCCAUAUCUCUGUCCCUCUGUCCAUCAGUGAAUGUUAGAGGGACUGAGGGCCGGGCCUCACGCUGUG